CCUACGGGUGGCAGCAGUAGGGAAUUUUCGGCAAUGGCGGGAACGCUGACCGAGCAACGCCGCGUGAACGAAGAAGUUAUUCGUAAUGUAAAGUCCUUUUAACAGGGAAGAAAGAGAAAUUUGACGGUACCGGAAGAAUAAGCUCCGGCGAACUACGUGCCAGCAGCCGCGGUAAUACGUAGGAAGCGAGCGUUAUCCGGAAUUAUUGGGCGUAAAGGGUGCGUAGAUGGCGUAGUAAGUCUUUUGUAAAAAUGCGGGGCUCAACCCAGUAGGGCAAAAGAUACUGAAAAGCUAGAGUAUGACAGAGGCAAGUGGAACUACAUGUGUAGCGGUAAAAUGCAUAAAUAUAUGUAAGAACACCAGUGGCGAAGGCGGCUUGCUGGGUCGAUACUGACAUUGAGGCACGAAAGCGUGGGGAGCAAACAGGAUUAGAUACCCCAGUAGUC
rnacentral:rRNA from 1 species